rnacentral:rRNA from 1 species
UACGGGAGGCAGCAGUGGGGAAUAUUGCACAAUGGGCGAAAGCCUGAUGCAGCUAUGCCGCGUGUAUGAAGAAGGCCUUAGGGUUGUAAAGUACUUUCAUCGGGGAGGAAAAACAAAACUAAUAAUUUUAUUUCUUGACGUUACCCGAAAAAGAAGCACCGGCUAACUCCGUGCCAGCAGCCGCGGUAAUACGGAGGGUGCUAGCGUUAAUCAGAAUUACUGGGCGUAAAGAGCACGUAGGUGGUUUUUUUAAAGUCAGAUGUGAAAUCCCUGGGCUUAACCUGGAAACUGCAUUUUGAAACUGAAAUACUAGAGUAUCGUAGAGGGAGGUAGAAUUCUAGGUGUAGCGGUGAAAUGCGUAGAUAUCUGGAGGAAUACCUGUGGCGAAAGCGGCCUCCUAAACGAAUACUGACACUGAGGUGCGAAAGCGUGGGGAGCAAACAGGGAUUAGAUACC